rnacentral:rRNA from 1 species
UGGGGAAUAUUGGACAAUGGGCGAAAGCCUGAUCCAGCCAUGCCGCGUGUGUGAAGAAGGUCUUCGGAUUGUAAAGCACUUUAAGUUGGGAGGAAGGGCAGUAAGCGAAUACCUUGCUGUUUUGACGUUACCGACAGAAUAAGCACCGGCUAACUCUGUGCCAGCAGCCGCGGUAAUACAGAGGGUGCAAGCGUUAAUCGGAAUUACUGGGCGUAAAGCGCGCGUAGGUGGUUCGUUAAGUUGAAUGUGAAAGCCCCGGGCUCAACCGGGGAACGGCAUCCAAAACUUGCGAGCUAGAGUAAAGCAGAGAGUGGUGGAAUUUCCUAUGUAGCGGUGAAAUGCGUGGAUAUAGGAAGGAACACCAGUGGCGAAGGCGACCACCUGGGCUCAUACUGAAACUAAGGUGCGAAAGCGUGGGGAGCAAACAGG